rnacentral:rRNA from 1 species
GGGCCCGCACAAGCAGCGGAGCGUGUGGUUUAAUUCGAUGCAACGCGAAGAACCUUACCAGGGCUUGACAUGCACGUGGUAGCGAAGUGAAAGCGGAGCGACCCUUCGGGGAGCGUGCACAGGUGCUGCAUGGCUGUCGUCAGCUCGUGCCGUGAGGUGUUGGGUUAAGUCCCGCAACGAGCGCAACCCUCGUUGCUAGUUAGAUCUUUCUAGCGAUACUGCCGGUACAAAACCGGAGGAAGGUGGGGAUGACGUCAAGUCAGCAUGGCCUUUAUGUCCUGGGCUACACACACGCUACAAUGGUCGGUACAAUGGGUUGCCAAGCCGCGAGGUGGAGCUAAUCCCUGAAAGCCGGCCUCAGUUCGGAUUGCAGGCUGCAACUCGCCUGCAUGAAGUCGGAGUUGCUAGUAACCGCCGGUCAGCCAUACGGCGGUGAAUACGUUCCCGGGCCUU